rnacentral:ncRNA from 1 species
UGACUCUGGAUAACUUCACGCCGAUCGCACGGCCUUCGCGCCGGCGACGUAUCUUUCAAAUGUCUGCCUUAUCAACUGUCGAUGGUAGGUUACGCGCCUACCAUGGUUGCAACGGGUAACGGGGAAUCGGGGUUCGAUUCCGGAGAGGGAGCCUGAGAAACGGCUACCACAUCCAAGGAAGGCAGCAGGCGCGCAAAUUACCCACUCCCGGCACGGGGAGGUAGUGACGAAAAAUAACGAUACGGGACUCUUCCGAGGCCCCGUGAUUGGAAUGAGUACACUUUAAAUCCUUUAACGAGGAACCAUUGGAGGGCAAGUCUGGUGCCAGCAGCCGCGGUAACUCCAGCUCCAAUAGCGUAUAUUAAAGUUGUUGCGGUUAAAAAGCUCGUAGUCGGAUGUCUGUCUUCGGCCGGGCGGCGCCGCUCUGAAUCAAGGGUGUUGCGUUUCACGCUCUGGGAGCCCGGGUGUCAAAGCCCGACUCUCUUCACGGUCGGACAACAUCGCCGGAGUGGUGGUCGGUGCGUCGUUGUUGUAUCUGCGGCCAGAGUUGGAAAGUUCUUUCGGGUUCUUUUUUAAUUUUGGUCGUAGUUGACUCGAUUCGCUCCACCCAGUCAAUCGUUCGGGGUGCCCUUCACCGGGUGUCUCGGGCGGNCGGCAACGUUUACUUUGAACAAAUUAGAGUGCUCAAAGCAGGUGUAUCCCAACGCCUGAAUAUCGCAGCAUGGAAUGAUGGAAUAGGACCUCGGUCCGAUUUUGCUGGUCUUUUACUUUUGGACCCGAGGUAAUGGUCAAUAGAGACGGACGGGGGCAUUCGUACUGCGGCGACAGAGGUGAAAUUCUUGGACCGCCGCAAGACGAACAACAGCGAAGGCAUUUGCCAAGAAUGUUUUCCUUGAUCAAGAACGAAAGUUAGAGGUUCGAAGGCGAUCAGAUACCGCCCUAGUUCUAACCAUAAACGAUGCCAACCAGCAAUCCGUCGGAGUUACUCCAAUGACUCGACGGGCAGCUUCCGGGAAACCAAAGUCUUUGGGUUCCGGGGGAAGUAUGGUUGCAAAGCUGAAACUUAAAGGAAUUGACGGAAGGGCACCACCAGGAGUGGAGCCUGCGGCUUAAUUUGACUCAACACGGGAAACCUCACCAGGCCCGGACACUGGAAGGAU